rnacentral:rRNA from 1 species
GAUGAACGCUAGCGGCAGGCUUAACACAUGCAAGUCGAGGGGUAUAGUUCUUCGGGACUAGAGACCGGCGCACGGGUGCGUAACGCGUAUGCAAUCUACCUUUUGCAGAGGGAUAGCCCAGAGAAAUUUGGAUUAAUACCUCAUAGUAUAGCAACUUCGCAUGAAGUCACUAUUAAAGUCACAACGGCAAAAGAUGAGCAUGCGUCCCAUUAGCUAGUUGGUAAGGUAACGGCUUACCAAGGCUACGAUGGGUAGGGGUCCGUGAGAGGGAGAUCCCCACACUGGUACUGAGACACGGACCAGACUCCUACGGGAGGCAGCAGUGAGGAAUAUUGGACAAUGGGCGCAAGCCUGAUCCAGCCAUGCCGCGUGCAGGAUGACGGUCCUAUGGGUUG